rnacentral:rRNA from 1 species
CCUACGGGAGGCUGCAGUAGGGAAUAUUCCACAAUGGGGGAAACCCUGAUGGAGCGACGCCGCGUGGGUGAAGAAGUAUUUCGGUACGUAAAGCUCUAUCGUCAGAGAAGAAAAUGACGGUAACUGACUAAUAAGCCCCCGCUAACUACGUGCCAGCAGCCGCGGUAAUACGUAGGGGGCAAGCGUUAUACGGAUUUAAUGGGUGUAAAGGGAGCGUAGGCGGCAGCGCAAGUCUGGAGUGAAAUCCCAUGGCUUAACCAUGGUACUGCAUUGGAAACUGGGCAGCUAGAGUGCAGUAGAGGAGAGGGGAAUUCCUAGUGUAGCGGUGAAAUGCGUAGAUAUUAGGAAGAACACCAGUGGCGAAGGCGGCUUACUGGACUGUAACUGACGUUGAGGCUCGAAAGCGUGGGGAGCAAACAGGAUUAGAUACCCCAGUAGUC